GAUGAACGCUGGCGGCGUGCCUAAUACAUGCAAGUCGAGCGAACAGACGAGGAGCUUGCUCCUCUGACGUUAGUGGCGGACGGGUGAGUAACACGUGGAUAACCUACCUAUAAGACUGGGAUAACUUCGGGAAACCGGAGCUAAUACCGGAUAAUAUAUUGAACCGCAUGGUUCAAUAGUGAAAGACGGUUUUGCUGUCACUUAUAGAUGGAUCCGCGCCGCAUUAGCUAGUUGGUAAGGUAACGGCUUACCAAGGCGACGAUGCGUAACCGACCUGAGAGGGUGAUCGGCCACACUGGAACUGAGACACGGUCCAGACUCCUACGGGAGGCAGCAGUAGGGAAUCUUCCGCAAUGGGCGAAAGCCUGACGGAGCAACGCCGCGUGAGUGAUGAAGGUCUUCGGAUCGUAAAACUCUGUUAUUAGGGAAGAACAAAUGUGUAAGUAACUAUGCACGUCUUGACGGUACCUAAUCAGAAAGCCACGGCUAACUACGUG
rnacentral:rRNA from 1 species